CAGCAGCCGCGGGAAUACGUAGGGUGCAAGCGUUAAUUGGAAUUACUGGGCGUAAAGCGUGCGCAGGCGGUGUUGUAAGACUGAUGUGAAAUCCCCGGGCUCAACCUGGGAACUGCAUUGGUGACUGCAACGCUGGAGUGCGGCAGAGGGGGAUGGAAUUCCGCGUGUAGCAGUGAAAUGCGUAGAUAUGCGGAGGAACACCGAUGGCGAAGGCAAUCCCCUGGGCCUGCACUGACGCUCAUGCACGAAAGCGUGGGGAGCAAACAGGAUUAGAUACCCCCGUAGUCCCUGUCUCUUAUAC
rnacentral:rRNA from 1 species